rnacentral:rRNA from 1 species
AGAGUUUGAUCCUGGCUCAGAACGAACGCUGGCGGCGUGGAUUAGGCAUGCAAGUCGAACGAGAAGCUAGGACUUCAAGUUUUCGGACGAGAAGUCUUAGUGGACAGUGGCGAAAGGGUGAGGAAUACGUGGGUAACCUGCCUCUAAGUUGGGGAUAGCUCCGCGAAAGUGGAAUUAAUACCGAAUGUGGUCUUCCUGCGCAUGCAGGAAUGUCUAAAGAUGGGGAUCCUUCGGGACCUGUCACUUGGAGAUGGACCCGCGUCCUAUCAGCUUGUUGGUGAGGUAACGGCUCACCAAGGCUUACGGGUAGCUGGUCUGAGAGGAUGGUCAGCCACACUGGGACUGAGACACUGCCCAGACUCCUACGGGAGGCUGCAGUCGAGGAUCAUUCGCAAUGCGCGAAAGCGUGACGAUGCGACGCCGCGUGCAGGAUGAAGGCCUUCGGGUUGUAAACUGCUGUCAUGAGGGAGCAAUAGUUCGGGUGCUAAUAACACUCGGAAUUGAUAGUACCUCAAGAGGAAGCCACGGCUAACUCUGUGCCAGCAGCCGCGGUAAUACAGAGGUGGCAAGCGUUGUUCGGAUUUACUGGGCGUAAAGGGUGCGUAGGCGGUCUUGCAUGUCGGAUGUGAAAUUCCACCGCUCAACGGUGGAACGGCAUUCGAAACUGCAAGGCUGGAGUACAGGAGAGGAGAGCGGAAUUCCUGGUGUAGCGGUGAAAUGCGUAGAUAUCAGGAGGAACACCGGUGGCGAAGGCGGCUCUCUGGACUGAUACUGACGCUGAGGCACGAAAGCUGGGGGAGCAAACAGGAUUAGAUACCCUGGUAGUCCCAGCCCUAAACGGUGUGCACUUGGUGUGGGGAGGAUUGUCCCUCUCCGCGCCGGAGCUAACGCGUUAAGUGCACCGCCUGGGGAGUACGGCCGCAAGGCUAAAACUCAAAGGAAUUGACGGGGGCCCGCACAAGCGGUGGAGCAUGUGGCUCAAUUCGAUGCAACGCGAAGAACCUUACCAAGGCUUGACAUGUAACUGCACGCCCUGCGAAAGCAGGGAAGCCUUCGAGGGUGUUACACAGGUGCUGCAUGGCUGUCGUCAGCUCGUGCCGUGAGGUGUUAGGUUAAGUCCUGCAACGAGCGCAACCCCUGUGAUUAGUUGCCACCUCCAAGGAAACGCGGAGAGCACUCUAAUCAGACUGCCUGUGAAAAGCAGGAGGAAGGUGGGGAUGACGUCAAGUCAGUAUGGUCCUUAUGCCUUGGGCUGCACACGUGCUACAAUGGUCGGUACAGAAGGAAGCAAAACCGCGAGGUGGAGCAAAUCCCCAAAGCCGACCCCAGUUCGGAUUGAAGUCUGCAACUCGACUUCAUGAAGCUGGAAUCGCUAGUAAUGGCGCAUCAGCUACGGCGCCGUGAAUACGUUCCCGGGCCUUGUACACACCGCCCGUCACAUCAUGGAAGCCGUCUGCACCCGAAGUCGCUGAUUCAACCCGCAAGGGAGAUAGGUGCCGAAGGUGUGGGUGGUGACUGGGAUGAAGUCGAAACAAGGUA